ensembl:snoRNA LOC120099461 small nucleolar RNA SNORA43
GCUGUCCUAGAACAACACCACAGUUAUGGCUCAGCUGUGCCCGUGACAUUGGGGCAAAGAGCAAGUGGCUAUUUCUACGCUCAGUGUUCAGAAGCUAUUGCGUACUAAGAAUGGUUUGUAGCUUGACAUUU